rnacentral:rRNA from 1 species
UACGGAGGGUGCGAGCGUUGUCCGGAAUCACUGGGCGUAAAGGGCGCGUAGGUGGCGACCCAAGUCAACGGUGAAAGCUCGGCGCUUAACGCCGAGUCGGCCGUCGAUACUGGGUGGCUCGAGCACUGUAGAGGCAGAUGGAAUUCCGGGUGUAGCGGUGGAAUGCGUAGAGAUCCGGAAGAACACCGGUGGCGAAGGCGGUCUGCUGGGCAGUUGCUGGACACUGAGGC